rnacentral:rRNA from 1 species
AUUGAACGCUGGCGGCAUGCUUUACACAUGCAAGUCGAACGGUAACAGGGUGCUUGCACCGCUGACGAGUGGCGAACGGGUGAGUAAUGCGUCGGAACGUGCCGAGUAGUGGGGGAUAACGCAUCGAAAGGUGUGCUAAUACCGCAUACGUACUGAGGUAGAAAGUGGGGACCUUCGGGCCUCACGCUAUUCGAGCGGCCGACGUCUGAUUAGCUAGUUGGUGAGGUAAAGGCUCACCAAGGCGACGAUCAGUAGCGGGUCUGAGAGGAUGAUCCGCCACACUGGGACUGAGACACGGCCCAGACUCCUACGGGAGGCAGCAGUGGGGAAUUUUGGACAAUGGGCGCAAGCCUGAUCCAGCCAUGCCGCGUGUCUGAAGAAGGCCUUCGGGUUGUAAAGGACUUUUGUCCGGGAGCAAAUACCCAGUGCUAAUAACGCUGGGGGCUGAGAGUACCGGAAGAAUAAGCACCGGCUAACUACGUGCCAGCCGCCGCAGUAAGAC